CCAUCAGUGCUACAUUCUAAGCACAAAACUGAACCAAUUUAACUAAAUAAGUUAUAGUUAUCAUCUGAGAGACAACAACAAUGGUAAAAUGCAAUAAAAUAUAAAGAUUUUACUAGCAAAAUGGAAAUUCCCCUGUAAUCAUCUUAUAUCUGGUAAGUUACAACAUUUGAACAUUAACGAUUUUUGAAGAUGUUAACAGUCUAAUCUUGUAGGAAAACCAGCCGACUUAACUGAUAAUAACAAUCCAGAUUGGGUUCCUUCAAUAAAUAUGGGGUAUAUAAACACAAUGAAAUGAGUUCCCCAAAAUCUAAAAUGGGAAUUAAGGUACACUUCGCGUCAAAAAAAACUGGUACACUUUUUUUUCCCAAUGUAAACCUGUGUUCACACUGGGCACAAUGGCUCGUGAAUCAAGGCGUUGUUGCCAGCACAGAUAAUGGAAUUGCACUAAAUCUAAAUACAAAAAAUAACAUUCAAAUAAAAAUCAUGGUGGUGAAUCGUAAAACGGGCCAUAGGUAACUCAAUGUAAAAUUCUAAACUGUUAAAUUCCUGCUUCAAUAAUCAUUUUACAACAAAAGUCAUGAGAAGCUAUUUGUAGGGGAUUAAAAUUUGUAUUAAAAACAAAGCUAAAAUUGUUCUAGGAUUUAAACACAUUCCAACAUUUUGAAAAAUACCUACAUUUGCCACAGUAGGCAUGUGUGUAAAAGUUAGGCCCACGUUAUUAUUUACCUGAUUGUUCGCACACUAUUGACUGAAUAACAUAUCUUUAUUAUUAUUACUUUCUCCUCAACUGAGACUAUCUUAUCAAUUUUAUUAUUUUUUAAACAAGAAAUGAUAAAUUAAAAAUUUUGACAGUUCAAAUUGUCAAUAUUUAUAAUAACUUCACUGUGACCGAACGCUCUGUGAAAAAAUCUUAUUAUAUUUCUCAUGAUUCGAAAAAAAUUAAUACAUUUAAUAAAACACAUUGAACAUUUUGACAGGCGACAUUUUCCACCUAUGUGCUUAAUAUUUCAGCAGUUUCGAAUUUUAUUGUAAUACAUAAUAUUUAAGUUCCACACUUGUUCACUGUAAAAGUUAUUCAUUUUGUAUUAAUUUCAAAUUUUAAUUUUUCCAGUGUGUUUUAUUUAUUAGUAUCCCACACCUUUACGAGAAACCCUUCACAUUUCUCGAUUUUAAAUUAAACAUAAUAAUUUAAUGUCAUGUCUAGAGUUAUUAUCUGUCAUUCAUGUCAUAUCUGUCAUAAAUUAUAAUAGAACACGAAUUAGUUUAAUGGGUACUUAAUUGAGAUGACGGAACAUUACAAAAUUAAUAAGAGAAUUUUUUAGGAUGCUUGUUUAAAUAAAUGUGACUGACUAAUCGAGAAUGCUCGAUGUUGUUUUAAUUUUUAGUAAACCUACUAAAAACUUACGGUCUGCCGCACAGCCCUGCUUUUACCUGGUUUGAUAUAAUAUUUUAGAUGAACUGGCAACGUUGCCUAGAAAUAAGAAUGACAUAUGUGACAAGACCAAUUUACACAACUAGAAAAUCAUGAUUUUCGGUUAUAAGACUUGUACCAGUUUUUUUUGACGCGAAGUGUACCAAAGGAGAAUUAAAAGAAAAUGGUACCUACAAGAAAAAAUUGCUUUUUUAUUCCUCUUGAAAUGAUUUAUAAGACACUGGACUGUCUUAUAUUCUACAAAUACUAGAAUCAGCUGAGAGAAGUGGUCUACAAAAACCCAGGAAGGAAACGGAAUAUGUGGCUACGAAAGGCAAAAGAAAGGUUUACAAAGCAAAUGUGACACAUUUUUUUGAAAUAUUUAGGAAUAUCAGUAAAUUGCAUUAAAAAAAUGUAUGAAAAGAUUUUGUUCAAUAAAAAUGUUUAUAUUUA